rnacentral:rRNA from 1 species
CCUACGGGAUGCAGCAGUGGGGAAUAUUGGACAAUGGGCGAAAGCCUGAUCCAGCCAUGCCGCGUGAGUGAAGAAGGCCUUAGGGUUGUAAAGCUCUUUCACCGGUGAAGAUAAUGACGGUAACCGGAGAAGAAGCCCCGGCUAACUUCGUGCCAGCAGCCGCGGUAAUACGAAGGGGGCUAGCGUUGUUCGGAAUAACUGGGCGUAAAGCGCGCGUAGGCGGAUAGAUAAGUCAGAGGUGAAAUCCCGGGGCUCAACCCCGGAAUUGCCUUUGAUACUGUUUAUCUUGAGUGCAGAAGAGGUAAGUGGAAUUCCGAGUGUAGAGGUGAAAUUCGUAGAUAUUCGGAGGAACACCAGUGGCGAAGGCGGCCAUCUGGAUCGACACUGACGCUGAGGCACGAAAGCGUGGGGAGCAAACAGGAUUAGAUACCCGGGUAGUC